rnacentral:rRNA from 1 species
GAUGAACGCUGGCGGCGUGCCUAAUACAUGCAAGUCGAGCGAACAGACGAGGGGCUUGCUCCUCUGACGUUAGCGGCGGACGGGUGAGUAACACGUGGGUAACCUACCUAUAAGACUGGGAUAACUUCGGGAAACCGGAGCUAAUACCGGAUAAUAUAUGGAACCGCAUGGUUCUAAAGUGAAAGACGGUUUUGCUGUCACUUAUAGAUGGAUCCGCGCCGCAUUAGCUAGUUGGUAAGGUAACGGCUUACCAAGGCAACGAUACGUAGCCGACCUGAGAGGGUGAUCGGCCACACUGGAACUGAGACACGGUCCAGACUCCUACGGGAGGCAGCAGUAGGGAAUCUUCCGCAAUGGGCGAAAGCCUGACGGAGCAACGCCGCGUGAGUGAUGAAGGUCUUCGGCUCGUAAAACUCUGUUAUUAGGGAAGAACAAAUGUGUAAGUAACUAUGCACGUCUUGACGGUACCUAAUCAGAAAGCCACGGCUAACUACGUG